AUUGAACGCUGGCGGCAUGCCUUACACAUGCAAGUCGAACGGCAGCACGGGUGCUUGCACCUGGUGGCGAGUGGCGAACGGGUGAGUAAUACAUCGGAACAUGUCCUGUAGUGGGGGAUAGCCCGGCGAAAGCCGGAUUAAUACCGCAUACGAUCUACGGAUGAAAGCGGGGGACCUUCGGGCCUCGCGCUAUAGGGUUGGCCGAUGGCUGAUUAGCUAGUUGGUGGGGUAAAGGCCUACCAAGGCGACGAUCAGUAGCUGGUCUGAGAGGACGAUCAGCCACACUGGGACUGAGACACGGCCCAGACUCCUACGGGAGGCAGCAGUGGGGAAUUUUGGACAAUGGGCGAAAGCCUGAUCCAGCAAUGCCGCGUGUGUGAAGAAGGCCUUCGGGUUGUAAAGCACUUUUGUCCGGAAAGAAAUCCUUGGCCCUAAUACGGUCGGGGGAUGACGGUACCGGAAGAAUAAGCACCGGCUAACUACGUG
rnacentral:rRNA from 1 species